rnacentral:rRNA from 1 species
GACGAACGCUGGCGGCGUGCUUAACACAUGCAAGUCGAACGGUGAAGGCGGAGCUUGCUCCGCUGGAUCAGUGGCGAACGGGUGAGUAACACGUGGGCAACCUGCCCCUCACUUCGGGAUAACUCCGGGAAACCGGGGCUAAUACCGGAUAUGACCUCCUUGGGCAUCCUUGGAGGUGGAAAGUUUUUCGGUGAGGGAUGGGCCCGCGGCCUAUCAGCUUGUUGGUGAGGUAGUGGCUCACCAAGGCGACGACGGGUAGCCGGCCUGAGAGGGCGACCGGCCACACUGGGACUGAGACACGGCCCAGACUCCUACGGGAGGCAGCAGUGGGGAAUAUUGCGCAAUGGGCGAAAGCCUGACGCAGCAACGCCGCGUGCGGGAUGACGGCCUUCGGGUUGUAAACCGCUUUCAGCAGGGAAGAAGCCGCAAGGUGACGGUACCCGCAGAAGAAGCACCGGCUAACUACGUGCCAGCAGCCGCGGUAA